rnacentral:rRNA from 1 species
AGCAGCCGCGGUAAUUCCAGCUCCAAUAGCGUAUAUUAAAGUUGUUGCAGUUAAAAAGCUCGUAGUUGAAUUUCGAGAUCAAAUUGUUGGUCGUGCCUUGGUACGCACUGGCAUUUAUUGGUUUCUCCCUUCUGACGAACCAUGAUGUUAUUAAUUUGGUGUCUUGGGGAAUCAGGACUGUUACUUUGAAAAAAUUAGAGUGUUUAAAGCAGGCUCACGCUUGAAUACAUUAGCAUGGAAUAAUGAAAUAGGACGUUUGAUUCUAUUUUGUUGGUUUCUAGGAUCGACGUAAUGAUUAAUAGGGAUAGUUGGGGGCAUUAGUAUUCAAUUGUCAGAGGUGAAAUUCUUGGAUUUAUUGAAGACUAACUACUGCGAAAGCAUUUGCCAAGGAUGUUUUCAUUAAUCAAGAACGAAAGUUAGGGGAUCGAAGACGAUCAGAUACCGUCGUAGUCUUAACCAUAAACUAUGCCGACUAGGGAUCGGAUGAUGUUAAUUUUUUAAUGACUCAUUCGGCGCCUUA